rnacentral:other from 1 species
AAGUGGCUAUGCAGUUCGAGAAGUCAAUCAUCCCCAGGGCCCAUAAGUAAAACCUCUAGGGGACUGUCUCUGAUAAGGCCGUGGUCUUAUUAUAUGGUUCCCACCUGCACAAGCAGGCCGUGAGGGAUACACUGUACUAGCGGCUGUUCGUGGCUACUUC